rnacentral:rRNA from 1 species
AUGGCGGGGGUGGGAGGCCGGAGCUCGCGCGCCGCCGGCAAGCGCGGGGGCGGGGCGGCGUCGUCGUCCGCGGCCGCGUCGGCGUGCGUCUACUACGCCACCACGGGGGUGCUCGUGGCGCUCUGCGUCGCCGGGGCCUACUUGCUCACGUCGACCUCGUCCGCGUCCAUCGCCGGGCCGGACGACGGGGACAAGGCGGCCGCCGUCACGGCGUACCGCCACACCACGCGCUCGUCGUUCGCGUACGAGGUGACCAGGGAGAAGGCGCCGCCGUCGCCGCCGCGCGAGCCCGAGGCCGAGGACGGGACGCUGGGCAAGGAGGACGCUGGCUCCGAGGAGGAUGGCGGCGCCGAUCAGGAGCGCGGCAGCGCCGUCGCCGCGGCGGCCGUGGACGACCCGCAUGCCAAGCCCGAUCUGGACGAGCGUGUCUCCGGCGGCGAGGACUCCAAGAGCGACGCGGCGGCGGUGGACGAGGACCAGAGCAACGAGCGCGUCCGCGUCGCCGCCAGCGAGGCCACCGCCGAGGAGGAGGAGGACGCCACGGCGGCGACGGGCGCGGACAAGGAGCAAGAAACGCUGGACAACGAUCAGGAAGAAGAGCAGCAGUCGCAUCUGCAGAUGCCGCGCGCCACGGUGGAGGAGAGGAACCUGGACGGCGGCAUCGAGGAGGAGAGCAUCGCGCGGCAGCGGCAGAGCGACGAGGAGGAGCGUAUGAGCGCCGGCGACGAGCAGCCCGGCACGGGCAUCCUCCGCCGCGAGGCGCAGGAGGACGAGGCGGCGGAGCGGCAGUCGGAUGAGGAUAGACCCGAUCAGGAGCAGACAGAGGAGGACCGUAGCAGCGAUCAAACGCUGGUCGAGGAGGACGGGCGCACGUUGGUGGAGGUAGAGUCCGACCCCGGGCAAGAAGACGGCGGCGGGGACGACAAGGCAGCUGCCGAGUCCGAGCACAAGGAGGACACGGACGGCAGCGGCGCCGGCUCGGUGAACCACAACGUCGUCGAUACGCUGCAAGGCGAGGGCUCGGCCGUCGGCGCCGAAGGAGACCAGAGCGCGUGGGCAACACAGCGCGAUCAGUCGCACCGGGAGAAGGACCGGCGGCAGGAAGACGCGGGCGACGGCAACAGCACGGACGGCGAGGAGCAGCACGAGUGGCGGACGUGCAACGUCAAGGCCGGCGCCGACUACAUCCCGUGCCUGGACAACGAGAAGGCCGUCAAGAAGCUGCGGCCGGAGAACUUCCGGCGCUACGAGCACCGCGAGCGCCACUGCCCCGACGAGGGCCCGACGUGCCUCGUCGCGCUCCCAAGUGGCUACCGCCGCCCCGUCGAGUGGCCAAAGAGCCGCGACAGGAUUUGGCUGAGCAAUGUGCCGCACACGAAGCUGGUCCAGGUGAAGGGGCACCAGAACUGGGUGAAGGUGAGCGGGCAGUACCUGCUCUUCCCCGGCGGCGGCACGCAGUUCAUCCACGGCGCGCUGCACUACAUCGACUUCCUGCAGCAGUCGGUGCGCGGCGUCGCGUGGGGGAAGCGCACGCGGGUGGUGCUGGACGUGGGGUGCGGCGUGGCCAGCUUCGGGGGCUACCUGUUCGAGCGGGACGUGGUGACCAUGUCGUUCGCGCCCAAGGACGAGCACGAGGCGCAGGUGCAGAUGGCGCUGGAGCGCGGCAUCCCGGCCAUCUCCGCCGUCAUGGGCUCCAAGCGCCUGCCCUUCCCCAGCAAGGCCUUCGACCUCGUCCACUGCGCGCGCUGCCGUGUCCCCUGGCACGCCGACGGCGGCGCCCUCCUCCUCGAGCUCAACCGCGUCCUCCGCCCCGGCGGCCUCUUCGUCUGGUCCGCCACGCCCGUCUACCAGAAGCUCACCGACGACGUCGAGAUCUGGAAAGCAAUGACGGCUCUGACGAAAUCCAUGUGCUGGGAGCUGGUGACGAUCAAGAAAGACCGGCUCAACGGCGUCGGCGCCGCCUUUUACCGGAAGCCGACGUCCAACGAGUGCUACGAGAGCAGGGGGCGGCAGCAGCCUCCCAUGUGCAGCGACGACGACGACGCCAACGCCGCGUGGUACGUCCGCCUGAACGCCUGCAUCCACCGGGUGCCGACCGGCGCGGCGGAGCGCGGGGCCAGGUGGCCGGCGGACUGGCCGCGGCGGGUGCGCGCGCCGCCCAACUGGCUCAACACCUCGCAGGUCGGGGUGUACGGGAAGGCGGCGCCGGAGGACUUCGUGGCGGACUACCAGCACUGGAGGCGCGUCAUGGACAAGUCGUACCUCAACGGGCUGGGCGUCGACUGGUCCAGGGUGAGGAACGUCAUGGACAUGAGAGCCGCCUACGGAGGGUUCGCCGCGGCGCUGAGGGACCAGAAGGUCUGGGUGAUGAACGUCGUCAACGUCGACGCGCCGGACACGCUGCCCAUCAUCUUCGACCGCGGGCUGUUCGGCAUGUACCAUGACUGGUGCGAGUCCUUCAGCACCUACCCGAGGACCUACGACCUUCUGCACGCCGAUCACCUCUUCUCAAAGAUAAAGGACAGGUGCGCCGUGUUGCCGGUCGUCGUCGAGGUGGACAGGAUCGUGAGGCCGGGAGGGAGCAUCAUCGUGCGCGACGACUCCGGCCUCAUCGGCGAGGUGGAGAAGCUCUUGAGGUCGCUUCACUGGGACGUGAGGCUCACCUUCUCCAAGAACGACAACGGGGUGCUGUUCGCCGAGAAAUCGGAUUGGCGGCCGGAGCUGGUCGCCGAGCCAACCUAA